ACGGCUAGAGCCGGAGGGCCGAGAGAGGUGAGCGGAGUUAGGGGUUACCGGCAGCUGUGGUGGUGGCGGCGCGGAAGGGUGGGACUUCCGCUGCUUCCGCCACUUCUCCGUCACGCCGGCGAGGAGAGGCCGCGCGGGCGACUCCACCUCCUACUCCUUGACCUGUAGUCCAUGCGCGGGAUACGCGCGGCACUACGCAUGCCCGGCUACCCGGCGCCCGGCGAGAGACGCCGCGUCCACCGUGCCAAUCACGACCGCCCGCAGCAAGAGGAGGGCGAGGCAGAGCAGCGUCCCCACGAGGACCAGCAGCGGAUGAUGGAGCACACGGCACACACGUGCGACAAACACCCGCCUCACCCUCUCCCGGCAGGGGCGGAUGUCCCCAACUCCUCCCUCCGGCACGACGCACGACCGGCGCACAACAGCGCCCGUUACGACAAGCACAAGCCCAAGAUGACCUAGGGGCACAGGCUAGCUUCGAAGGGGUUACGGCUCUUGAGUCACAGGUUCAACGGCAACUAACCAGAGUAUUCGUUUACAGAACCCACGUAAAAACAAGUUGCUCUUAGGUUUACAAGUCUAAGAUUUCCACAGAGUCCACGACAUUGACUUUCCGAGGUACUCCAAAGUGUUCUGCUCUUAAGGGGAUACUAGAAUGAGAAAGGACUCCCAUGAUGAUGCUUACCCCUAAUGGAAGAGGGUAAAUUCUGUCCUCGGAAAGAACGUUCCCGUGGUAACGUUGGACAUUAAAACUCUAUAGGAACGUCCUCUAAAUCAGGUCGGACCCUGAGGUACCUACCCCGUGCAGUACACAAAAACGAGGAGACAGUUAAACGUUUAAUGUAUCUCCACCAAGCGAACGGACAUAUGAUAGGAAGACUCGUUCUUUUCGUCCUAGGAUCUCAGAUACGGUUGUUGCAGUCUUUUAACGAACGCUGACUCCCAUUAAAUCAAGACAGAUUAGAACCCGACCGACUUUUCGCACGCAUAGUACGCCGUGAAUUACCUGACAACACAGUUUCGAUUAAACCUAUGUGUACUACUAUCAAAAUGAAAAACAGAAACAUGUAGCACUUAAUUUAAACAGCAAAAAAGAAAGAGUCGCUCCAGUCUGUGGUACAUGUACACACGCGGAAACUUUGUUUGGACUCAAUCCAGAACCCCGGUCUUCUUUAUCUCUAUCUGCCCAUUUUCAACUUUUGAUUGAAGACAAAUAAACUAAGCCGUACACUAAACAAACUAUAGGUGAUUACGCCUCAGGAUUACCUUCAAGACGGUCACACAUAGUUUAUAAUCAGGAUUUACCCUUGAAGACGGUCACAC
rnacentral:rRNA from 1 species